GAACGAUGAAGCCUAGCUUGCUGGGUGGAUUAGUGGCGAACGGGUGAGUAACACGUGAGCAACCUGCCCCUGACUCUGGGAUAAGCGCUGGAAACGGCGUCUAAUACUGGAUAUGUCCCAUCACCGCAUGGUGUGUGGGUGGAAAGAUUUUUCGGUUGGGGAUGGGCUCGCGGCCUAUCAGCUUGUUGGUGAGGUAAUGGCUCACCAAGGCGUCGACGGGUAGCCGGCCUGAGAGGGUGACCGGCCACACUGGGACUGAGACACGGCCCAGACUCCUACGGGAGGCAGCAGUGGGGAAUAUUGCACAAUGGGCGGAAGCCUGAUGCAGCAACGCCGCGUGAGGGAUGACGGCCUUCGGGUUGUAAACCUCUUUUAGCAGGGAAGAAGCGAGAGUGACGGUACCUGCAGAAAAAGCACCGGCUAACUACGUGCCAGCAGCCGCGGUAAUACGUAGGGUGCAAGCGUUAUCCGGAAUUAUUGGGCGUAAAGAGCUCGUAGGCGGUCUGUCGCGUCUGCUGUGAAAUUCCGAGGCUCAACCUCGGGCUUGCAGUGGGUACGGGCAGACUAGAGUGCGGUAGGGGAGAUUUGGAAUUCCUGGUGUAGCGGUGGAAUG
rnacentral:rRNA from 1 species